rnacentral:rRNA from 1 species
UACGUAGGGUGCGAGCGUUAAUCGGAAUUACUGGGCGUAAAGCGUGCGCAGGCGGCGCGUUAAGACAGGUGUGAAAGCCCCGAGCUUAACUUGGGAAUUGCGCUUGUGACUGGCGAGCUGGAGUGUGGCAGAGGGAGGUGGAAUUCCACGUGUAGCAGUGAAAUGCGUAGAGAUCGGGAGGAACACCAGUGGCGAAGGCGGCUACCUGGACCAGCACUGACACUGAGGCACGAAAGCGUGGGGAGCAAACAGG